rnacentral:pre_miRNA from 1 species
UUAGUUCAUAUUUGUAUGGAAUGGGAUCGUUUGCGUACGUUUGCCGCUAGGGGCGCUGUUCCAACUGCAUACAAAAAUGGCUUA